rnacentral:rRNA from 1 species
UACGUAGGGCGCAAGCGUUGUCCGGAAUUAUUGGGCGUAAAGAGCUCGUAGGUGGCUUGUCACGUCGGGUGUGAAAGCUUGGGGCUUAACUCCAGGUCUGCAUUCGAUACGGGCUGGCUAGAGGUAGGUAGGGGAGAACGGAAUUCCAGGUGUAGCGGUGAAAUGCGUAGAUAUCAGGAGGAACACCGGUGGCGAAGGCGGGUCUCUGGGCAGUAACUGACGCUGAGGAGCGAAAGCGUGGGGAGCGAACAGG